CGAUUAAGCCUGCGAGUUAAAUGUUCUUCGUGAACAUAGCGAACUGCUCAGUAACACGUGGAUAACCUACCCUUAGGACCGGAAUAACCCCGGGAAACUGGGGAUAAUACCGGAUAAGCCAUAGACGCUGGAAUGCCCUAUGGUUCAAAGCUCCGGCGCCUAAGGAUGGAUCUGCGGUCUAUCAGGUUGUAGUGGGUGUAACGUACCUACUAGCCGACGACGGAUACGGGUUGUGAGAGCAAGAGCCCGGAGAUGGAUUCUGAGACACGAAUCCAGGCCCUACGGGGUGCAGCAGGCGCGAACACUUUACAAUGCGGGAAACCGCGAUAAGGGAACCCCGAGUGCCAGCAUCAAAUGUUGGCUGUCCAGAUGAUUAAAAAUCAUUUGUUAGCAAGGGCCGGGCAAGACCGGUGCCAGCCGCCGCGGUAACACCGGCGGCCCGAGUGGUAGCCGUUUUUAUUGGGUCUAAAGGGUCCGUAGCCGGCCUGAUAAGUCCUUUGGGAAAUCUGGCAGCUUAACUGUCAGGCUUCUAAGGGAUACUGUCAGGCUUGGGACCGGAAGAGGUAAGGGGUACUCCAGGGGUAGGAGUGAAAUCUUGUAAUCCCUGGGGGACCAUCUGUGGCGAAGGCGCCUUACCAGAACAGGUCCGACGGUGAGGGACGAAAGCUAGGGGAGCAAACCGGAUUAGAUACCCGGGUAGUCCUAGCUGUAAACGAUGCUCGCUAGGUGUCAGACACGGUGCGACCGUGUUUGGUGCCGCAGGGAAGCCGUUAAGCGAGCCACCUGGGAAGUACGGUCGCAAGGCUGAAGCUUAAAGGAAUUGGGCG
rnacentral:rRNA from 1 species